CACUAAUUCUCCUACGUUGUUUAUGACUUGAUCAUAGCCUUCAUGUUCUACUAUCUCGCCAUCAAUUACAUCCACCUCCUUCCUCAACCUCUCUCGUACAUUGCCUGGUUGGUUUACUGGAUCUGUCAAUAGAUUAUAAAUAGUCUUCAAGCAAUUGAUAGGAGACCUGACAUUAUUGAUGGGUUGAAGAGACUUAAAUGUCGAACACUCAUAUUUGUUGGCGAGGACUCUCCUUUCCAUUCAGAGGCUGUUCACAUGACAUCAAAACUAGAUAGAAGAUAUAGUGCCUUAGUUGAGGUGCAACCCUUUUGAAUGCAAACCUUUUGAGUACGUGAUAUUUUCGCAUAUCGAUAUGGGAGCUUACUAUUGAUAUCAAAACAAGCUACAUUGUAUCUGUUUUUAUUUUUUUAUUUCUAUUGCCGAUAUUAAAAAUUUGAGUUCUUGAAUUUCAAAAAUUAUUAGUAUUGUUAAAGGUUAUUUUAUAUAUUUUUGUAAAUAAUAUUUGAUUGACAAUUUUUACAAGGUACAUAUAUUAUUCUUGGUAUAUGAUUUUUUGAAUGUGAAUUUGGAUGUGGAUGUGGAUGUGGAUGUGGAUGUGGAUGUGGAUGUAUUUUUAAAAAAUAUUAAUAAUUUGUAUAGGAAAUAUUUAAUAAAAUAUGAUUUUAUAAAAAAUAAUUUUAUUGCGACAAUAAUAAACCGUCGCUAAUGUAAUUCUCAUUUCCUUAUAUUUUAUUAACGACGAGUUAACCUGUCGCAUAUACAUAUUAGUUCCAAUC